rnacentral:rRNA from 1 species
GUAGGGAAUAUUGCACAAUGGGCGAAAGCCUGAUGCAGCAACGCCGCGUGCGCGAUGAAGGUCUUCGGAUCGUAAAGCGCUUUUCGGGGAGAUGAGUAAGGACAGUAUCCCCGGAAUAAGUCUCGGCUAACUACGUGCCAGCAGCCGCGGUAAAACGUAGGAGGCAAGCGUUAUCCGAAUUUACUGGGCGUAAAGCGUGUGCAGGCGGUUCGGUAAGUUGGAUGUGAAAUCUCCUGGCUCAACUGGGAGAGGUCGUUCAAUACUGUCGGACUUGAGGGCGGUAGAGGGAGGUGGAAUUCCUGGUGUAGUGGUGAAAUGCGUAGAUAUCAGGAGGAACACCUGUGGCGAAAGCGGCCUCCUGGCCCGCUCCUGACGCUCAUACACGAAAGCUAGGGGAGCGAACGGGAUUAGAUACCCGGGUAGUCC